rnacentral:rRNA from 1 species
CCUACGGGUGGCUGCAGUGGGGAAUAUUGGACAAUGGGGGGAACCCUGAUGCAGCGACGCCGCGUGAGUGAAGAAGUAUUUCGGUAUGUAAAGCUCUAUCAGCAGGGAAGAAAAUGACGGUACCUGACUAAGAAGCCCCGGCUAACUACGUGCCAGCAGCCGCGGUAAUACGUAGGGGGCAAGCGUUAUCCGGAUUUACUGGGUGUAAAGGGAGCGUAGACGGUGCAGCAAGUCUGAGGUGAAAGGUCGGGGCUCAACCCCGGGACUGCAUUGGAAACUGUUGAACUGGAGUGCAGGAGAGGUAAGCGGAAUUCCUAGUGUAGCGGUGAAAUGCGUAGAUAUUAGGAGGAACACCAGUGGCGAAGGCGGCUUACUGGACUGUAACUGACGCUGAGGCUCGAAAGCGUGGGGAGCAAACAGGAUUAGAUACCCGUGUAGUC